GACCUGGCUGGACGGUCCGCCUUCGGGUGAGUACUGUCUGUGGUCGGGUCCUACCUUCUGGCGAAGCGUCAUGGCCUUAACCGGCCGUGGCGGGGAACCAGGACGUUUUACUGUGAAAAAAUUAGAGUAGUUCAAAGCAGGCAAAUCGCUUGGAUACAUUAGCAUGGAAUAAUGGAAUAGGACAAUGGUUCUAUUUGUUGGUUUCUAGGACCGUUGUAAUGAUUAAUAGGGAUAGUUGGG
rnacentral:rRNA from 1 species